GAUGAACGCUGGCGGCGUGCCUAAUACAUGCAAGUCGAGCGAACGGACGAGAAGCUUGCUUCUCUGAUGUUAGCGGCGGACGGGUGAGUAACACGUGGAUAACCUACCUAUAAGACUGGGAUAACUUCGGGAAACCGGAGCUAAUACCGGAUAAUAUUUUGAACCGCAUGGUUCAAAAGUGAAAGACGGUCUUGCUGUCACUUAUAGAUGGAUCCGCGCUGCAUUAGCUAGUUGGUAAGGUAACGGCUUACCAAGGCAACGAUGCAUAGCCGACCUGAGGGGGUGAUCGGCCACACUGGAACUGAGACACGGUCCAGACUCCUACGGGAGGCAGCAGUAGGGAAUCUUCCGCAAUGGGCGAAAGCCUGACGGAGCAACGCCGCGUGAGUGAUGAAGGUCUUCGGAUCGUAAAACUCUGUUAUUAGGGAAGAACAUAUGUGUAAGUAACUGUGCACAUCUUGACGGUACCUAAUCAGAAAGCCACGGCUAACUACGUGCCAGCAGCCGCGGUAAUACGUAGGUGGCAAGCGUUAUCCGGAAUUAUUGGGCGUAAAGCGCGCGUAGGCGGUUUUUUAAGUCUGAUGUGAAAGCCCACGGCUCAACCGUGGAGGGUCAUUGGAAACUGGAAAACUUGAGUGCAGAAGAGGAAAGUGGAAUUCCAUGUGUAGCGGUGAAAUGCGCAGAGAUAUGGAGGAACACCAGUGGCGAAGGCGACUUUCUGGUCUGUAACUGACGCUGAUGUGCGAAAGCGUGGGGAUCAAACAGGAUUAGAUACCCUGGUAGUCCACGCCGUAAACGAUGAGUGCUAAGUGUUAGGGGGUUUCCGCCCCUUAGUGCUGCAGCUAACGCAUUAAGCACUCCGCCUGGGGAGUACGACCGCAAGGUUGAAACUCAAAGGAAUUGACGGGGACCCGCACAAGCGGUGGAGCAUGUGGUUUAAUUCGAAGCAACGCGAAGAACCUUACCAAAUCUUGACAUCCUUUGACAACUCUAGAGAUAGAGCUUUCCCCUUCGGGGGACAAAGUGACAGGUGGUGCAUGGUUGUCGUCAGCUCGUGUCGUGAGAUGUUGGGUUAAGUCCCGCAACGAGCGCAACCCUUAAGCUUAGUUGCCAUCAUUAAGUUGGGCACUCUAAGUUGACUGCCGGUGACAAACCGGAGGAAGGUGGGGAUGACGUCAAAUCAUCAUGCCCCUUAUGAUUUGGGCUACACACGUGCUACAAUGGACAAUACAAAGGGCAGCGAAACCGCGAGGUCAAGCAAAUCCCAUAAAGUUGUUCUCAGUUCGGAUUGUAGUCUGCAACUCGACUACAUGAAGCUGGAAUCGCUAGUAAUCGUAGAUCAGCAUGCUACGGUGAAUACGUUCCCGGGUCU
rnacentral:rRNA from 1 species